rnacentral:rRNA from 1 species
UACGUAGGGUGCAAGCGUUAAUCGGAAUUACUGGGCGUAAAGCGUGCGCAGGCGGUUGUGCAAGACAGAUGUGAAAUCCCCGGGCUUAACCUGGGAACUGCAUUUGUGACUGCACGGCUAGAGUGCGGCAGAGGGGGAUGGAAUUCCGCGUGUAGCAGUGAAAUGCGUAGAUAUGCGGGGGAACACCGAUGGCGAAGGCAGCCCCCUGGGUCAAGAUUGACGCUCAUACACGAAAGCGUGGGGAGCAAACAGG